rnacentral:misc_RNA from 1 species
AAGUCGUAACAAGGUUUCCGUAGGUGAACCUGCGGAAGGAUCAUUAAAGAGAUAGGGUUCUCAUGAGCCCGACCUCCAACCCUUUGUCUACCAAACCUCUGUUGCCUCGGCGGGCCGCCGGCUCCUUUAACCAGGGGCCGCCGUCGGCUCUCGCGCUCUCGAGUGCCCGCCGCAGGACUAUUUCAAACUCUUUUUAAACAAGUACAAUCUGAGUGGAUAUUAAUGCUUCAAUUAAA